GACGAACGCUGGCGGCGUGCUUAACACAUGCAAGUCGAACGGAAAGGCCCUGCUUUUGUGGGGUGCUCGAGUGGCGAACGGGUGAGUAACACGUGAGUAACCUGCCCUUGACUUUGGGAUAACUUCAGGAAACUGGGGCUAAUACCGGAUAGGAGCUCCUGCUGCAUGGUGGGGGUUGGAAAGUUUCGGCGGUUGGGGAUGGACUCGCGGCUUAUCAGCUUGUUGGUGGGGUAGUGGCUUACCAAGGCUUUGACGGGUAGCCGGCCUGAGAGGGUGACCGGCCACAUUGGGACUGAGAUACGGCCCAGACUCCUACGGGAGGCAGCAGUGGGGAAUAUUGCACAAUGGGCGGAAGCCUGAUGCAGCAACGCCGCGUGCGGGAUGACGGCCUUCGGGUUGUAAACCGCUUUCGCCUGUGACGAAGCGUGAGUGACGGUAAUGGGUAAAGAAGCACCGGCUAACUACGUGCCAGCAGCCGCGGUGAUACGUAGGGUGCGAGCGUUGUCCGGAUUUAUUGGGCGUAAAGGGCUCGUAGGUGGUUGAUCGCGUCGGAAGUGUAAUCUUGGGGCUUAACCCUGAGCGUGCUUUCGAUACGGGUUGACUUGAGGAAGGUAGGGGAGAAUGGAAUUCCUGGUGGAGCGGUGGAAUGCGCAGAUAUCAGGAGGAACACCAGUGGCGAAGGCGGUUCUCUGGGCCUUUCCUGACGCUGAGGAGCGAAAGCGUGGGGAGCGAACAGGCUUAGAUACCCUGGUAGUCCACGCUGUAAACGGUGGGUACUAGGUGUGGGGUCCAUUCCACGGGUUCCGUGCCGUAGCUAACGCUUUAAGUACCCCGCCUGGGGAGUACGGCCGCAAGGCUAAAACUCAAAGGAAUUGACGGGGCCCCGCACAAGCGGCGGAGCAUGCGGAUUAAUUCGAUGCAACGCGUAGAACCUUACCUGGGUUUGACAUGGAUCGGGAGUGCUCAGAGAUGGGUGUGCCUCUUUUGGGGUCGGUUCACAGGUGGUGCAUGGCUGUCGUCAGCUCGUGUCGUGAGAUGUUGGGUUAAGUCCCGCAACGAGCGCAACCCUUGUUCACUGUUGCCAGCACGUUAUGGUGGGGACUCAGUGGAGACCGCCGGGGUCAACUCGGAGGAAGGUGGGGAUGACGUCAAGUCAUCAUGCCCCUUAUGUCCAGGGCUUCACGCAUGCUACAAUGGCUGGUACAGAGAGUGGCGAGCCUGUGAGGGUGAGCGAAUCUCGGGAAGCCGGUCUCAGUUCGGAUUGGGGUCUGCAACUCGACCUCAUGAAGUCGGAGUCGCUAGUAAUCGCAGAUCAGCAACGCUGCGGUGAAUACGUUCCCGGGGCU
rnacentral:rRNA from 1 species